UUGAAAACGAGAAACAAAAGAUGAAGCUUCCGUUGCCGAAUAUCUUUAGCAAAGUCCAAGAGAACCUCAAAUUUGACCCUCCAAAAUUAAUUUCAAGGGAUACAUCUUCUUGUUUAAGAGACGACGAAUUCGGGCGUCAAGCAGUUGCAGGCAUAAACCCUCUGAGCAUAGAAAGGCUUACAGUUUUCCCACCAGUAAGCAAACUUGAUCCAUCCAUGGCUCACAAGAGUCAGCACUCGAGGAGGAACAUUUAAUAGGCCAUCUUGAUGGGAUGUCCGUACAACAGGUAUAUUGAAAAAAAGCAAGUUGUUCAUACUAGACUAUCAUGACAUGUUUCUUCCAUUUCUCAACCAAAUAAACAAUUUAGAUGACCGAAAAGCUUAUGGAACUCGUGCGAUUUCUUCUUGACCUCAUUGGGAACUUUAAAGCCAAUUGCUAUUGAGCUGAGCUUGCCUCCGACAAAGUCAGGUUCAGCAUCCAAGCAGGUUCUCACACCUCCAGUUGAUGCUACGACAAAUUGGCUUUGGCAACUUGGCAAAGCCCAUGUCUGCUCCAAUGAUGUCGGUGCUCAUCAACUAAUUCAUCAUUGGUUAUGCGUUCAUGCAUGCAUGGAACCACUUAUAAUAGCAGCUCAUCGCCAUUUUUAGUGUAAUGCACCCAAUCUACAAAGCUUCUCAAACCUCACUUGCGAACCACCUUGAAGAUAAAUGCAUUGGCUUGUCGGGAGCUCAUCAACGUUGGAUGCAAAUGGUGUGGAUGCCUUCUCCUUGGCUUGACUACUUUCUUGCUUGCUUUAUUGUUAAUACAAAUGGUGUGGAUGCCUUCUCUUUUUAUAGGCAUGGAUGGAACCUUGGAGAAGUAUGGAAACAUCAUGCUAGAGAUAUCUAGAUAAUUCCACUACCUUCUUAAGCUAGAAUUAUCUACACUAAUCUUGCAUGUUGGUGGAAUCCUUACCAUUCUUCUAGACUCUUCCACCAACUUGAACUUUGCUAGAAUUCUCUAGCAUGUGCAUGGAUCUUUCUUUAUGCAUGGGCUGGAUCCAUUGUCUUUGGGCUGGUGUUAUACUUUUAACAGCAACAAAGUAUAUGGCAGUGAUCGACAUCAUUUCAACUCACUCGCCUGAUGAAGAGUAUAUUGGAGAAAGGAAGGAUUUGUCGACGUGGUCAGCUAACACUGAGAUUGUUGAAGCAUUUUAUAGGUUUUCAAUGGAGAUGAAGAAAAUUGACAAGGAGAUUGAAAGAAGAAAUGUUGAUUCAAAUCUGAGGAACAGAUGUGGGGCUGGGGUCUCACCAUAUGAGCUGCUCAUGCCAAGCUCGAAGCCUGUGGUUACAUGCAGAGGAGUUCCUAAUAGUAUAACAGUCUGAGGUUAAUUCGAGACAAUUAGGAACUCCUCUGCAUGUAACCCCAGGCUCCGAGCUUGGCAUGAGCAGCUCAUAUGGUGAGACCCCAGCCCCACAUCUGUUCUUCAGAUUUGAAUCAACAUUUCUUCUUUCAAUCUCCUUGUCAAUUUUCUUCAUCUCCAUUGAAAACCUAUAAAAUGCUUCAACAAUCUCAUUGUCAUUUUUUGUAGGGAUGAUCUUGAAAUGAAGAUUAAAAAAUUGAGUGAUUUUCCGAUCAUGAAAUUUGUACGGUCAAGGCGCGUUAUUCACAUAAGGGAAUGAUCUCAUCCCUAAAGGAGGAAAGCAUGUAUAUUAUCCAAACAAAAAAGGGUUAAAUGCAAAACAAAUAGUUUGUACC